AUGUCCCCGCCAUCAAGAAGAACCUCGUUAGUGGCUCCCUUCUAUGUAGAGAAGCUCAAGAACGUGCAGCAUGUCCCCGCCAUCAAGAAGAACCUCGUUAGUGGCUCCCUUCUAUGUAGAGAAGGGUUUAAGUUGGUAUUCAAGUCUAAUAAAUUAGUUGUUACUAAGUAUGGACUAUUUGUUGGAAAAGAUUAUGAGAGCGGAGGGAUGUUCCGCCUUUCCCUUGCAGAUUUCUGUAAUAAAGUCAUGAACCAUAUUCAUUCGAGUGUUAAUGAAUCUGAAAUUUGGCAUUCACGUCUUUGUCACAUAAGUUUCGGUGUUAUGACGGGACUAGCUAAGUUGGAUUUAAUCCCAAGUUUCACUUUUAGCCAAAGGUUCUAA
rnacentral:rRNA from 1 species